rnacentral:misc_RNA from 1 species
AAGUCGUAACAAGGUUUCCGUAGGUGAACCUGCGGAAGGAUCAUUAACACAACAUCUUAAGUUCUAUCUUUAUUGGUGUAAAAGCCAGUAGAGGUAGUUCUUAAAACCCCACCAAACCGCGAUCAUUUGUAUUAAUCUCUCUCAGUUGAUUAGGUGGCUCUUUGAUGGAGUAGACAAUCUUUUAUUAGAUUGGAUCAUCGAGUCGUUUUACAUGCCUGAUUGAUUGAGACUUGUCAAGACUACUCUGGGUUGCUUCACGGCAGCUCACCCUAUUUUAACCCCUUUCACCCCUUCUUCUAGUUAAAAUCAGUCUAUAAAUGUUCAUGAGUCAGAAAUGUCUCCUCUGAACGCCAAUUAUUCAACGCUGUACAACUCUUAGCAAUGGAUAUCUUGGCUCUG